rnacentral:lncRNA from 1 species
ACAUGCUCCUCUGCUGUUCUGGCUGCUACAUGAGUAGCUUUCACUGUACACUCCAUUGUCCCCCGUAACACAGGAAGGCAUCCUCCUGAGUUAGCAGUAACUGAAGGAUAAAGAUGAACAAACCACAAUUUCUUUCAUUCUCCCAACUCCUGGCUUUAGGGGCUGCUUUCUGGCUUUAAAAAUAUUGCACUGGAAUAGAACCAAGGAUCAAAUAUCUGGGACAUGAUAUCUUGAGUAAAACAGGUAUGUUUUUUGUGACCCACUUAUGACUAAACUAUACUGUCAUUGUGAUAUUGAAUUCAUUAAAAAUAACAUUUUCCCCUAAAUAAUUCAUUAAUAUAUUUACAUUUUAAAAAUCAGGAACAACAGGUAUAAACAGUUUUAAAGUCUACACAUUUUCAGCAGAUUUUUUUUUUUUACAAGAGAAAACACUUUUUAAGUAUCUCUGACAUCUAGGUAUAUUUGAUUGCCAGUUCACGUGUCAAAUAUGAAAAAUAAGAAAAGAGAGACUUUCCAAAGUAGUGAUAUGUGACACGGUUAAAAAUGUAUUUGUGUGCCAAUUCUCAUGAGUUUUAUCAUUAUCCUUACAAUCUCCAUUUGUUUCCAAUUUAUGUUCUAAUCUUUUAAAAUGCAUUUUGUCAACACCUUUACAUUUAAGGUUUAAACUCUCUUUAAGGGAGAAGCUAAGUGCAGAGUGCAGUGUACUUAACAUUCAUUUGCAGUUAACUUUUUGAAAUGUUGUUUAAUCUUUUUGAUGUUUGGGAAACCUCAAGAGAUUUUUUUGGUGCAAUUUUACCAUUUUUUACUUAGAAAAUAAAAUUGUGUUUUGUGAUGGAUAAAUAAAAUAAAACAUAAAUGAUUUACAUGAUUCUGAGACUUUGGAAUUUUGACUGGGUAUAUUUUCCCAUUUUACUUAUGACUUUCACAACUAUUUUACUUGACAAUUUAAUGAUGCCACAGACAGAGUAGGAUAGGCUUAUUCUUCAGUACCAAGCAAACAUAAUUGCAGGGUUUAACAUCUGAAAUUUAUUCAUUUCCCCAUACAGAUGGUAGACCAAAUAGUUAUUCAGUGCCCCCAUCUCAGGUGGUGACUCAGAGGUCUAAUCUCUUUGACCGUAUGGCUCAGCCAUCUCAACAGCUGGUCUCUAUGCUUCCUAUGAAUGAGAAGAAGGUUCACACCUGCUCAUUACUAUUUGGCCAUUCUCUGCUAACAGUGCAUCGACCAGAACAAGUCAUGUGGUCCUGCCUAAAUGCAAUAAGGAAAGAAAUGUAGAGAACACGUGGAAUGAAGUUUGCAUUACUAUCUCUGCUGCAAAAGCUCACUUUAAAUGUGAGACUUAGCGAUAGAUGAAACUUGGGAGACGUCUCCAUCAGUGAUGGGUGCACCAAAAUCUCACAAAUCAUCAUUAUAGAACUUACACAUGUAACCAAAUACCACCUGUUCCCCGAAAUCCUAUGGAAAUAAAAAAUAAACAUAGGUGACUGACAUAUAAAUAAAGGGAUAAAUAACCAUCUUGCUCUGAAAUUAAAAAACAAAAAAGGAUUCUUCCAAAGUAUAAUUAAAAGGCAAAAAAAA